rnacentral:rRNA from 1 species
GGCCAGACUCCUACGGGAGGCAGCAGUGGGGAAUAUUGCACAAUGGGGGAAACCCUGAUGCAGCGACGCCACGUGAGUGAAGAAGUAUUUCGGUAUGUAAAGCUCUAUCAGCAGGGAAGAAAAUGACGGUACCUGACUAAGAAGCCCCGGCUAACUACGUGCCAGCAGCCGCGGUAAUACGUAGGGGGCAAGCGUUAUCCGGAUUUACUGGGUGUAAAGGGAGCGUAGACGGCAUGGCAAGUCAGAUGUGAAAGCCCGGGGCUCAACCCCGGGACUGCAUUUGAAACUGUCAGGCUGGAGUGCAGGAGAGGUAAGUGGAAUUCCUAGUGUAGCGGUGAAAUGCGUAGAUAUUAGGAGGAACACCAGUGGCGAAGGCGGCUUACUGGACUGUAACUGACGUUGAGGCUCGAAAGCGUGGGGAGCAAACAGGAUUAGAUACCCGCGUA